AAAACGACUCUCGGCAACGGAUAUCUCGGCUCUUGCAUCGAUGAAGAACGUAGCGAAAUGCGAUACUUGGUGUGAAUUGCAGAAUCCCGUGAACCAUCGAGUCUUUGAACGCAAGUUGCGCCCAAAGCCAUUUGGUUGAGGGCACGCCUGCCUGGGUGUCGUGA
rnacentral:rRNA from 1 species